rnacentral:rRNA from 1 species
AUUGAACGCUGGCGGCAUGCCUUACACAUGCAAGUCGAACGGUAACAGGUCUUCGGAUGCUGACGAGUGGCGAACGGGUGAGUAAUACAUCGGAACGUGCCCGAUCGUGGGGGAUAACGAAGCGAAAGCUUUGCUAAUACCGCAUAAGAUCUACGGAUGAAAGCAGGGGACCGCAAGGCCUUGCGCGAACGGAGCGGCUGAUGGCAGAUUAGGUAGUUGGUGGGAUAAAAGCUUACCAAGCCGACGAUCUGUAGCUGGUCUGAGAGGACGACCAGCCACACUGGGACUGAGACACGGCCCAGACUCCUACGGGAGGCAGCAGUGGGGAAUUUUGGACAAUGGGCGAAAGCCUGAUCCAGCCAUGCCGCGUGCAGGAUGAAGGCCUUCGGGUUGUAAACUGCUUUUGUACGGAACGAAAAGACUCUGGUUAAUACCUGGGGUCCAUGACGGUACCGUAAGAAUAAGCACCGGCUAACUACGUG